AUGUUUGGGUUAGUUGGGCACCUACAAUUUGAUCUAUUUGUAUUUGAUGAAGAAGGGUGCGAGGUUAGCUAUGAUUGGUCUACUACUCUACCAAUUCAUCAAGCGAAUGCUCCGAUUGGAUGGGAUGCAGAGUUGGCUAUGUCUAAUACUAAUGGCUAUAAGCAUGCAGUUACUAUUGCAUUUGUUAUAGUAAUUCAAAAUAGUUGCUAAUACUUUGUGUGCCUACCCAUAGCUGCGGCUUUAACUGCUUGUCCACCAAGCAAUUUUAGGGCUUCUAGGCAUGCAUUGCGCUGCAAUCUACUACUGUCGACUUCUGAUCUUGAGAGGCUGGAACUGCCUAUGCGAUUCCAGCUAUUUUGCGAAACUCAUGGCCAUAAAUACUUUAGAUUGGUGUCGAGAGGAAGAAGUUGGUUUGUGCGGUAUGUUGCUGGGCACUUUGUUGGUUAUGGUUGGAAAUUAUUCGUUGACGAACACAAGCUUGAGAGCUCUGACAUGUUGGUGCUGAGUCCUAAUAUCAACCUCCAAUUGCAUACCAUGGUUUUCAGUGUGAAUGAUUGCGAGCGUAUCUAUUGGUGGUACUAAUGCUAAUUUCCCCCUCUUUUGACUGCUGACUUGUAUUUAGAUUUGGACAGGCCAGUUCAGUGGAAUUCUAGGAUUAACUAUGUAGGAAAGAUGAGCCUAUAUGUUGUUCAUUUGUAAGUACAAGUUUCAACUAGAAAGGUCCAGUACUCUGGUUUACCUUCAUUUUGUAGAGUUCCUUAUAAUGACAAUGGCUCACAGCUUUUUGAAAAAGCCAUUUUUGUAUUGCCAAAUCUGAUUGUAAAGUGUGCCAAGAACACACUGACUUUGUAAAUGGCAAUGAAGUUGCAGCUUGUUGUGUUUAA